ensembl:snoRNA U8 U8 small nucleolar RNA
UUAUCAGGUAGGAUAAUCCGUACCUUCCUCUACUCAGAGGGUAGAUAGAACAUGAUGAUGGAGAUCACAUGAUUCAUGAUUAACGUCUCUGCAUGAUUAGGUAGGACUCUCACCACGCUAAUCGUUCCUAUCUGAA